GAGUCCGUGGCUCAAUGGUUAGAGCGUUUGACUUCUGAUCAACAGGUCCUGGGUUCC
rnacentral:tRNA from 1 species